CCUACGGGAGGCAGCAGUAGGGAAUUUUCGUCAAUGGGCGCAAGCCUGAACGAGCAAUGCCGCGUGAACGAGGAAGGUCUUCGGAUCGUAAAGUUCUGUUGAAGGGGAAAAAGAGCGGAGAGAGGAAAUGGUCUCCGAUUGAUAUUACCCUUCGAGGAAGUCACGGCUAACUACGUGCCAGCAGCCGCGGUAAUACGUAGGUGGCGAGCGUUAUCCGGAAUGAUUGGGCGUAAAGGUUGCGUAGGCGGCCUGCUAAGUCUGGAGUGAAAGGUACCGGCUCAACCGGUACAGGCUCUGGAAACUGGCGGGCUAGAGAGCAGGAGAGGGCGGUGGAACUCAAUGUGUAGCGGUAAAAUGCGUAGAUAUAUGGAAGAACACCAGUGGCGAAGGCGGCCGCCUGGCCUGUUACUGACGCUGAGGCACGAAAGCGUGGGGAGCAAAUAGGAUUAGAUACCCCAGUAGUC
rnacentral:rRNA from 1 species